rnacentral:lncRNA from 1 species
ACCGCCGCCGCCGCCGCCUCCUCGGCCGACGUCACCUCGACGGCGUCGGCCUCGGUCUCCUCCUCCUUCUUCGUCGCGACGUCCUUGACGGAGACGGAGGUGCAUCCAUUGGAAGACGACGAGGAGGAGGAGCGGUGGCUGGCGGAGACGGAGGACUUCCUCCGGAAGAGCUUGCUGCUGCCGGCGGCGGCGGGGGCGGUGGUGUUGCCGGUGGCCACGUCCUCCUUGGAGCCACCGCAACCCAUGGCCGGCGCCGCUGCUGACGCCGACGACGCCGGAGGAGGAGGCGGAGGAGGAGGAGAGGAAUCGGCGGAGCUUG